rnacentral:rRNA from 1 species
UACGAAGGGGGCUAGCGUUGCUCGGAAUCAUUGGGCGUAAAGAGCGUGUAGGCGGCCAGGUAGGUCGGUUGUGAAAACUGGAGGCUCAACCUUCAGAGGUCGACCGAAACCAUCUGGCUAGAGUCCGGGAGAGGAGGGUGGAAUUCCUGGUGUAGCGGUGAAAUGCGCAGAUAUCAGGAAGAACACCCGUGGCGAAAGCGGCUCUCUGGAACGGUACUGACGCUGAGACGCGAAAGCGUGGGGAGCGAACAGG